rnacentral:rRNA from 2 species
AGCAGCCGCGGUAAUUCCAGCUCCAAUAGCGUAUAUUAAAGUUGUUGCAGUUAAAAAGCUCGUAGUUGAAUUUCGGGAUCAAUUUAUCGGUCGUGCCUACGGUAUGAACUGGUACAAUUGGUUUCUCCCUUCUGAUGAAGCACGAUGUCAUUAACUUGGUGUCGUGGGGAAUCAGGACUGUUACUUUGAAAAAUUAGAGUGUUUAAAGCAGGCCUUGGCUUGAAUACAUUAGCAUGGAAUAAUGAAAUAGGACGUUUGAUCCUAUUUCGUUGGUUUCUAGGAUCGACGUAAUGAUUAAUAGGGAUAGUUGGGGGCAUUAGUAUUCAAUUGUCAGAGGUGAAAUUCUUGGAUUUAUUGAAGACUAACUACUGCGAAAGCAUUUGCCAAGGAUGUUUUCAUUAAUCAAGAACGAAAGUUAGGGGAUCGAAGACGAUCAGAUACCGUCGUAGU